UCUUCGGAGACGAGGGUGGUCGCAAAUCCCGGACGAGCCCCCAAAUGUAAGGCCUAUCCCCAAAAGGGAAGAUCCUCACUCAAGUCUCGGGAUGACGCGACCCCCCAAGUACUCACGAGAGACU
rnacentral:pre_miRNA from 11 species